rnacentral:rRNA from 1 species
GACGAACGCUGGCGGCGGGCUUAACACAUGCAAGUCGAACGGAAAGGCCCUGCUUUUGUGGGGUGCUCGAGUGGCGAACGGGUAAGUAACACGUGAGUAACCUGCCCUUGACUUUGGGAUAACUUCAGGAAACUGGGGCUAAUACCGGAUAGGAUCUCCUGCUGCAUGGUGGGGGGUGGAAAGUUUCGGCGGUUGGGGAUGGACUCGCGGCUUAUCAGCUUGUUGGUGGGGUAGUGGCUUACCAAGGCUUUGACGGGUAGCCGGCCUGAGAGGGUGACCGGCCACAUUGGGACUGAGAUACGGCCCAGACUCCUACGGGAGGCAGCAGUGGGGAAUAUUGCACAAUGGGCGGAAGCCUGAUGCAGCAACGCCGCGUGCGGGAUGACGGCCUUCGGGUUGUAAACCGCUUUCGCCUGUGACGAAGCGUGAGUGACGGUAAUGGGUAAAGAAGCACCGGCUAACUACGUG